rnacentral:rRNA from 1 species
UGCAAGUCGAGCGCCCCUUCGGGGGAGCGGCAGACGGGUGAGUAAUGCAUGGGAAUCUACCCAGCUCUACGGAAUAACUCAGGGAAACUUGAACUAAUACCGUAUGCGCCCUUCGGGGGAAAGAUUUAUCGGAGUUGGAUGAGCCCAUGUCUGAUUAGCUAGUUGGUGGGGUAAAGGCCUACCAAGGCGACGAUCAGUAGCUGGUCUGAGAGGAUGAUCAGCCACACUGGGACUGAGACACGGCCCAGACUCCUACGGGAGGCAGCAGUGGGGAAUAUUGGACAAUGGGGGCAACCCUGAUCCAGCCAUGCCGCGUGAGUGAUGAAGGCCCUAGGGUUGUAAAGCUCUUUCACCGGUGAAGAUAAUGACGGUAACCGGAGAAGAAGCCCCGGCUAACUUCGUGCCAGCAGCCGCGGUAAUACGAAGGGGGCUAGCGUUGUUCGGAAUUACUGGGCGUAAAGCGCGCGUAGGCGGAUCGGUCAGUUAGGGGUGAAAUCCCGGGGCUCAACCCCGGAACUGCCUCUAAUACUGCCGAUCUAGAGUUCGAGAGAGGUGAGUGGAAUUCCGAGUGUAGAGGUGAAAUUCGUAGAUAUUCGGAGGAAGACCAGUGGCGAAGGCGGCUCAGUGGCUCGAUACUGACGCUGAUGUGCGAAAGCGUGGGGAGCAAACAGGAGUAGAUACCCUGGUAGUCCACGCCGUACACGAUGGAAGCUA